rnacentral:rRNA from 1 species
UACGGAGGAUCCAAGCGUUAUCCGGAUUUAUUGGGUUUAAAGGGUGCGUAGGCGGAACGAUAAGUCAGUGGUGAAAGCCUGCAGCUUAACUGUAGAAUUGCCGUUGAUACUGUUGUUCUUGAGUAUAUUUGAUGUGGGCGGAAUGUGUCAUGUAGCGGUGAAAUGCUUAGAUAUGACACAGAACACCGAUUGCGAAGGCAGCUCACAAAACUAUAACUGACGCUGAGGCACGAAAGCGUGGGGAUCAAACAGG